rnacentral:rRNA from 1 species
GUAGGGAAUCUUCCACAAUGGACGAAAGUCUGAUGGAGCAACACCGCGUGAGUGAAGAAGGGUUUCGGCUCGUAAAGCUCUGUUGGUAGUGAAGAAAGAUAGAGGUAGUAACUGGCCUUUAUUUGACGGUAAUUACUUAGAAAGUCACGGCUAACUACGUGCC